AUGCUUUACACAUGCAAGUCGAGCGGCAGCGCGGGGCAACCUGGCGGCGAGCGGCGAACGGGUGAGUAAUGCAUCGGAACAUGUCCAUGUCGUGGGGGAUAGCCCGGCGAAAGCCGGAUUAAUACCGCAUAAGCCCGAGAGGGGAAGGUGGGGGACCGCAAGGCCUCACGCGAUUGGGUUGGCCGAUGUCCGAUUAGCUAGUUGGCGGGGUAAAGGCCCACCAAGGCGAUGGUCGGUAGCUGGUCUGAGAGGAUGAUCAGCCACACUGGGACUGAGACACGGCCCAG
rnacentral:rRNA from 1 species